rnacentral:rRNA from 1 species
UUUUGAAAAAUUGACCUCGGAUCAGGUAGGAAUACCCGCUGAACUUAAGCAUAU